UACGUAGGGCGCAAGCGUUGUCCGGAUUUAUUGGGCGUAAAGAGCUCGUAGGCGGUCCGUCACGUCGGCUGUGAAAACCCGAGGCUCAACCUCGGGCCUGCAGUCGAUACGGGCAGACUAGAGUGCGGUAGGGGAGACUGGAAUUCCUGGUGUAGCGGUGAAAUGCGUAGAUAUCGAGAGGAACACCAGUGGCGAAGGCGAGUCCCUGGACAGAUCCUGACGCUGAGGCACGAAAGCUAGGGGAGCAAACAGG
rnacentral:rRNA from 1 species